CUGACAUUUGUACAAGUCAACGAGGAGUAAACCCGUAAGGUACAAGGAAUUUGAUUGACAUGAUCUUUCAAGGGGUGCAAUGUUGAUCGACCUCGAUCUUCUCAGAAGGGUUUGAAUAUGAGCAUACAUGUUGAGCCCGAAAGAUGGUAAAUUGUACCUGAGCAGGGCGAAGCCAGAGAAAACUCUGGUGGAGGCCUACAGUGAUACUGACGUGCAAAUCGUUCAUCUGACUUGAGUGGAGGCUCACAGCAAUAUCGAAUUUUUCCUCAGG
rnacentral:rRNA from 1 species